CAAGGGGACAACGGAGUUCUGCAAGAAUUAGAAUUGAAGCCUUCAAAACUCUGAGGGUGUUGGUUGCUAAGAAAGGAGGGAAUAAUAUCCCUGGAAAGGACAGCAAAAAUGUAAAAAAGUGCAAUCAAGCUUUUUGCUCUCUAAGCAAAUUUUAUAGGAAGGUUCCAAAUUCCAAUAAAGAAACCAUGCUAAGGGAGGACCAAAGAGAAGGUUGGUUCUGCAGAUGCGUUAAUAACAUUC